rnacentral:rRNA from 1 species
GGNCGGGGGCAAGCGUUGUUCGGAAUUACUGGGCGUAAAGGGCUCGUAGGUGGCCAACUAAGUCAGACGUGAAAUCCCUCGGCUUAACCGGGGAACUGCGUCUGAUACUGGAUGGCUUGAGUUCGGGAGAGGGAUGCGGAAUUCCAGGUGUAGCGGUGAAAUGCGUAGAUAUCUGGAGGAACACCGGUGGCGAAGGCGGCAUCCUGGACCGACACUGACACUGAGGAGCGAAAGCCAGGGGAGCAAACGGGAUUAGAUACCCCGGUAGUCCUGGCCCUAAACGAUGAAUGCUUGGUGUGGCGGGUAUCGAUCCCUGCCGUGCCGAAGCUAACGCAUUAAGCAUUCCGCCUGGGGAGUACGGUCGCAAGGCUG